rnacentral:rRNA from 1 species
UAAUACGGGGGGUGCAAGCGUUGUUCGGAAUCAUUGGGCGUAAAGCGCGUGUAGGCGGCUUGACAAGUCAGAUGUGAAAUCCCUGGGCUUAACCCAGGAAGUGCAUUUGAAACUGUCUGGCUGGAGUAAGGGAGAGGAAAGUGGAAUUCCUGGUGUAGAGGUGAAAUUCGUAGAUAUCAGGAGGAACACCGGUGGCGAAGGCGACUUUCUGGCCCUAUACUGACGCUGAGACGCGAAAGCGUGGGUAGCAAACAGG